rnacentral:tRNA from 1 species
GCCGAUCAGGCCGAUCUGGUGAUGGCGCCGGUUUGUGGAACCGGAGAGCGUAGUUCGAUUCUGCGGGUCGGUA